rnacentral:rRNA from 1 species
GAUGAACGCUGGCGGCGUGCCUAAUACAUGCAAGUCGAGCGAACAGACGAGGAGCUUGCUCCUCUGACGUUAGCGGCGGACGGGUGAGUAACACGUGGAUAACCUACCUAUAAGACUGGGAUAACUUCGGGAAACCGGAGCUAAUACCGGAUAAUAUAUUGAACCGCAUGGUUCAAUAGUGAAAGACGGUUUUGCUGUCACUUAUAGAUGGAUCCGCGCCGCAUUAGCUAGUUGGUAAGGUAACGGCUUACCAAGGCAACGAUCCGUAGCCGACCUGAGAGGGUGAUCGGCCACACUGGAACUGAGACACGGUCCAGACUCCUACGGGAGGCAGCAGUAGGGAAUAUUCCGCAAUGGGCGAAAGCCUGACGGAGCAACGCCGCGUGAGUGAUGAAGGUCUUCGGAUCGUAAAACUCUGUUAGUAGGGAAGAACAAAUGUGUAAGUAACUCUGCACGUCUUGACGGUACCUAAUCAGAAAGCCACGGCUAACUACGUG